rnacentral:rRNA from 1 species
UGCCUCAGCUAGCUCUCUGCAACUCUCACAUGGUCGCCCACUGAAGCUAAGCAGGGCUGCGCCCGGUCAGUAGCUGGAUGGGAGACCACAUGGGAAAGCUAGGUUGCUGCCGGAA